ACUCCUACGGGAGGCAGCAGUGGGGAAUAUUGCACAAUGGGCGCAAGCCUGAUGCAGCAACGCCGUGUGAGUGAAGUAAGGUUUUCGGAUACGUAAAACUCUGUCCGUAAAGGGAAAGAAACAAAUGACGGUACCUUAGGAGGAACGCCCCGGCUAACUACGUGCCAGCAGCCGCGGUAAUACGGUAGGGGCAAGCGUUAUCCGGAAUCACGUGGGCGUAAAGGGUGCGUAGGCGGCUUAGCAAGCCAGGGGUGAAAGGCAUUGGCUCAACCAAUGUAAGCCUUUGGAACUGUUAAGCUUGAGUGCAGGAGAGGUAAGUGGAAUUCCUAGUGUAGAGGUGAAAGUUCGUAGAUAUUAGGAGGAACACCGAGUGGCGAAGGCGACUUACUGGACUGUAACUGACGCUGAUGCACGAAAGCGUGGGU
rnacentral:rRNA from 1 species